rnacentral:misc_RNA from 1 species
UUUCCGUUGGUGAACCAGCGGAAGGAUCAUUACAGAGAUCGUGCCCUUCGGGGUAGACCUCCCACCCUGUGUUAUUUACGUAUGUUGCUUUGGCGGGCCGCCUCCGGGCUCUCGGCUUCGGCCGAGGUGUGCCCGCCAGAGAACUCACAACCCUGUGUUUAGUGUCGUCUGAGUAUUAUCAAAUAAGUUAAAACUUUCAACAACGGAUCUCUUGGUUCUG